rnacentral:rRNA from 1 species
ACGCUGGCGGCAGGCCUAACACAUGCAAGUCGAGCGGUAACAGGAAAGCGCUUGCGCUUUUGCUGACUAGCGGCGGACGGGUGAGUAAUGUCUGGGGAUCUGCCCUAGGGCGGGGGAUAACCACUGGAAACGGUGGCUAAUACCGCAUAAUGUCACGAGACGAAAGUGGGGGACCUGAAAGGGCCUCACGCCGUCGGAUGAACCCAGAUGGGAUUAGCUAGUAGGUAGGGUAAUGGCCUACCUAGGCGACGAUCUGUAGCGGGUCUGAGAGGAUGAUCCGGCCACACUGGGACUGAGACACGGCCCAGACUCCUACGGGAGGCAGCAGUGGGGAAUAUUCGACAAUGGGCGCAAGCCUGAUGCAGCCAUGCCGCGUGUAUGAAGAAGGCCUUCGGGUUGUAAAGUACUUUCAGCGGGGAGGAAGGGUUUAGUCUGAAGAGGGUUAGAUGAUGACGUUACCCGCAGAAGAAGCACCGGCUAACUCUGUGCCAGCAGCCGCGGUAAUACAGAGGGUGCGAGCGUUAAUCGGAAUGACUGGGCGUAAAGCGCACGUAGGCGGUCAAUUAAGUUAGAUGUGAAAUCCCCGGGCUUAACCUGGGAAUGGCAU